rnacentral:rRNA from 1 species
CCUACGGGAGGCAGCAGUGGGGAAUAUUGGACAAUGGGCGAAAGCCUGAUCCAGCAAUGCCGCGUGAGUGAUGAAGGCCUUCGGGUCGUAAAGCUCCUUUACCAGGGAUGAUAAUGACAGUACCUGGAGAAUAAGCUCCGGCUAACUCCGUGCCAGCAGCCGCGGUAAUACGGAGGGAGCUAGCGUUGUUCGGAAUUACUGGGCGUAAAGAGUACGUAGGCGGUUAUUCAAGUCAGAGGUGAAAGCCCGGGGCUCAACCCCGGAACUGCCUUUGAAACUAGAUAACUAGAGUCUUGGAGAGGUUAGUGGAAUUCCGAGUGUAGAGGUGAAAUUCGUAGAUAUUCGGAAGAACACCAGUGGCGAAGGCGACUAACUGGACAAGUACUGACGCUGAGGUACGAAAGCGUGGGGAGCAAACAGGAUUAGAUACCCUGGUAGUCCACGCCGUAAACGAUGAUAACUAGUUGUUCGGUCACUUGGUGACUGAGUGACGCAGCUAACGCAUUAAGUUAUCCGCCUGGGGAGUACGGUCGCAAGAUUAAAACUCAAAGGAAUUGACGGCNGAAGAGUGCGAGAGACACGAGGAGAGG